rnacentral:pre_miRNA from 1 species
UCUCUCCCCUCUAAUCCCCCCUUAGCCGUCCCUUCUCGGCUUUGGUUGUCAUUGUCUACUUGAAGAGAACUAUGACACUGAAGCGAGAUGGUACGGCGAGGGGAGGAGGAAGAGGGAGGG